GUACUUGGUUUUCUGACCUGUUGUACUUAUGAAGUCGCGUACGAGGUCUUUCCCAGUUGCAGCUUCGAACUUACGAGUUAAAUGGAACGCACCAUUAGGCGGGAUUGUGCCAGCGCUGGUUAGCCAACGUAGCCUGCAAAUUUUCUACAACUAAAAUAUGUAAGGUGGUAAUUUUAACAAAAUAUAAUAAAUAAGUAAAUAUUAUUAAUAUAGUAUUUGUGUUAAAGGUUAAAAAAUUUAUAUUAAAAAGAAAAUAAAUAGGAAGUUUAUUUUGAAGGAGACGCGCUGUCAGCCAAUCAGGAGCCGAGUUCACUUCACCUCGAGCUCCUGGAAGAACGGAUAGGAAACCCCGCGCUGACAACGGUUCCUACCUCGUGGAGAUAAAUGUGGAGCCCUGGACCUGUGAGAGUGCAGUCGGAGAGACCUGACAUCUCCCUCACGAAGGAAACGCAUCGGAGGCUCCAGCAUGUCAUGUGAUCUACAAUCCCGACCCCGACCACAAGUCCAGAACUGUUCACCUGGUCCACCUGCGGUCCUGACGAACCCAGUGAGCCAAUCAGAGGACCAGAAGGUUCCCAGGGAGCAGAGUCCGAAAUCCUUUUAUUUAUCACUUUUGGCGAAGAGGGAGGAAGAAGGAGGAAGAAUGGAGGCUGACUGAACUCCUCUCAGAGAGCGGCGGACGCUGCCAACAACGCCCAGUAAUUGGCAGAAAAUGGACAUUUUUGUCAUAGCGGAUCAAUUUGACUGUUACUGAGAGACACUGUAAGAUUCAGCUGCUAAGAAUCCACAUUACAAGAUGAUGAAGGUCAAAUAAAAACAUGAUGAUUCAGCAUGAAUUCUUCUCCAUGAAGGUAGUCUUACUGUAAUAAAUACAGCAGAACUUAUAUAUGCUGUCACAAUAAAAUUAUAUUAGUUCUGUUAGUUUUACAGUUAAGUUUUGUUCCAGUUUUUAUCCUGAAAGGAAAUUAAAAUGAAAAAACCUUUCAAAUGCCACAUAAAAUAAAGGUUUUGUAACAAAAUAUGAUGGUUUAAAGUAAAAUCUUUGUUGAAAUAAAGUAAAAAACAAUAACAAAGUGUUUUUACGGUAAAGAAGUGUAGUUGCCAGAAUUUUACUGUCAUGAAUACAGCAGUCGUUUUUCUACUAUUAGUUGGAGUUCUAUUCC
rnacentral:lncRNA from 15 species